rnacentral:lncRNA from 13 species
CAAAGACACAUCUUUGGCAAUUCAUAUGGUUCCGGUUAUAUUGGCGUAAUUCUGCAAGCGUAUCCUCCUUCAACCACAGAGGAGAACUCAUCUACCUCCAUAGUUUAAUAAACAUUUGCAGCUUUUAACACGGGAGGUGAGGAAUUGGGCGGGCAGCGGGUUUGGGAGACCCUCUGAGCCGCACGCUGGGAGGUGACAGCCACCGGCAGCUCCGGGAGCUCCUCGGCCCCCGCCCGUCCCCGCUGCGUCCAGCGCCGGCAAAGGUGGGUGCGAUGGAGCCCUGUCCUGCCAGGGCUUUCCAAACCCUCUCCCCCUUCUCUGUCCCCCCCUCCACCCCGCUCCAGCCCCGGGAAUGAGGAUCCUGCUCCCCCAAAUAUCCCGGCACAAGUUUGGGAGCAUCCCGGGGACCAUGUGGUUGAUCCAUGUGGAUGCUGGCAGGAGCUGGGGCGUUCGUGCCCUGGGGGUGCAGGGUCCCCCCUUUCAGAGGGCGCUGAUGGGGUGCAGUUCGUGGAUCCGAGAUUCCCGGAGGAAUCCGGCUGUCCCCGGGGGAUCAGGGAAGCGGAACGUCCCGGGGUCUGUGCGCUCCCGUUGUUUUCAGGAGCGGAAUCGGUGCCGGGAGAGGGAUGGGAAGAGGAAGGAAAAGUCCCGGGGGGGAGGGACGGGAGAGUUCCGGGAGAGCUCCGGGUGAGCUCCUCAGGAGGGGAUCGGCUCCCGCCGGAGACUGGAUUGGGGUGCAGAGGUGCAGGAUUGGGAUUCAGGGGUGCAGGGCUCUCCAUCGCACCCCCCUCCGUGCUCCAGCGCUGCUUUGCAGGACCUGAGGCUGACACCCCAGGGCUGCAGGAUUGGGGUGCAGAGGUGCAGGAUUGGGGUGCAGAGGUGCAGGGCUCUCCGUCGCACCCCCCUCCGUGCUCCAGCGCUGCUUUGCAGGACCUGAGGCUGACACCCCAGCGGAUCCCGGGCCGGCAGCCAGGACGGCCCUCGGGCAGGAUGUUCCCCCCGCCGGGCUGCAGGAGGGGCUUCCCCAGGGAGCCCGGCCCGUGGUGGGAUGGGCCAGGGCCGUGCCCCCCUCCUGGCCCUGAGGACGCCUGGGAUGAGCCACCCUGGGAGCACCAGCGCUGGCGGUGCCCGGUAAGGGACAGGGCUGGGGGGAGAUGUCACAGGGAUGUGUCACAGGGAUGUGUCACAGGGAUGUGUCACAGGCGCUGCGGGAGCUUCCGAGUUUGUCAGGGAGACCUUCCCGGGGAGCUGCCAAGGGAGGGGACCCCUUGGCUCUCUAAACUCCUUCCUCAAAAAGAGGCUGGAUGUGUCUGGAUCCAGUUGUGGACCCCCAGGCUCCCAAAACUCCCGAGAGGAGUCUGGACACAUCUGGAUCCAGUUGUGGACCCCCAGGCUCCCGAAACUCCCAAGAGGAGUCUGGACACAUCUGGAUCCAGUUGUGGACCCCCAGGCUCCCGAAACUCCCGAGAGGAGUCUGGACACAUCUGGAUCCAGCUGUGGAGCUGGCCAGCAGUUUGUGUCUAAAGGAUUCCACAGCUUCGCCCCCCAGGAUUAAGAAUGGCAAAACAAAUGUAUUUACAUCGGUAAAAUAAAUAAUUUAUUUCGAUGGAUGGUGCCUAAAGGACCUCAGUCAGUUACCUGAUUAAUAGCCAGGGCGCUGUUAAUUAAACCGAUAGUUUCAAAGUUAAAUUAGCAAUUGUGAAGUGGAGGUUGGUGCUACUCACCCAGACCCACACAAAACUCUUCGGCUCGGCCUCGAGGAGUGGCCUUGAAGGGCUCCAGAAAGGAAUCCACGCUCGCUCCUAGGAGGGCCGUGCUGGAAUCCCGCUGUUCUGAAGUGGGAUUGAGCUUUUAUAGCGUGGACUGAGGGAUGUUGGGCAUUUUGGGAGCCAUUUGUGCUUAAAUCAGUGAUUGCUGCCCUCUGGUUCCUCCCAGGAAACAUCUGCCCCCCACAUCCCUGCCGGUGCCAGCUGCUCUCAGGGUUUCACAUCCCUCUGGGGUUUCGUUUUGGAAUAUUUGAGUCAGGCUGCUCUCAGUGUUCUCCAGCACCGCUGGCAGCCUCAUCCCCCCUCCACUGCUGCCAAUUUUCACAGUUAGGUGAAAUCUGAGCUGUUUCACCCGAACUGCAUCCUGCAGCAAGGAGGGACUCACCUGCCCAGCCAGGGCAGCCCAAAGCAGGGGCUCCCCCAGAGCAGGAGAGGCAGAAAGAGCUGAGGGUCGCAGUGGGGAGGGGGAACAGCAAGAAAACCACAACAUCCCAGUGGAUUUUGUCCUUACCAGUGGCUGUUCCCAUUGCAGCCUCAUCGCAGGGCCCCGGGACCCAUCCCUGGCCCUGGUGACAGCCCUUGGAACGAGGAGGAGGACACGGGGUGGGCACCCCACGACUGUCCCCCGCCACCCCCUUGGGAUGACAGAGACUUCCAAGGACCUGAGGACGGCUUUGGAGAGGGCUGGCACCCGGUGAGGGGGAGAUGGGCUGGGGGGUGGUGGCAGCCACAGGACCGAGUGGGUAAAAUGGACAAGGACAGCGUGUGGGGACCCUCUGUGCUGUGCAGCCACAGCUCCCCCUGUCCCAUUCCCUGCCUAAACCCACCCCCUUCCCCGCAGGAGCUGCCCCCAGAGCCCUGGCCUGAAUUCCCCGAGGAGGAGCAGCCCCCACCCUGGCCCCCCGCCAGCCCUCCACGGUGGGUGCCGGGCUCGGGGGGCUCGGGGGGUCUGUGUGCCUGUGGGGUGGCACUCGGGGCCACCAGGGCUGGGCACAGCCACGGGUGACGCGGUGAAAGCUGUCCCCACCUCGGCUGGGAUUGCACAGAGACCCCUCCCAGCCUAAACCCCCCCCACCCUGGGGCUGUGCUCCUGCAGGAUCCGAGGAGCUUUCCGGGGACACCGCCCGCCCUGGAGCUGCCCCCGCCGGGGUGGGAGACGCGGCCGCCGCCCCCGCAGGAGCCACCACCGGCAGCUGACCCUGGUUCCCCGGGUGUGGUGUCCCCGGCCCCCCCGAGGUCUGUGCUGACCCCGUGGCCUCUCCCCGGUGCUCUGCAGCCUCUCCUGGGGCAGGGUGAGGAGUCUGUCCCGCUGUUUCUCACCCUGCAGAGUACAAGCCGCACUCCAAGGCCUCUCCUGCCCUCUCCAAGAGGAGCAAGCCGGCGGCCGGGAAGGAGCUGCAGCCCCCAGAUCCUCCCCAGCCCCUUUUACCCCUCCGAGGUGCUGCGGAGAGGCCGGAACAGACACAGGUUGUGGGGUUUUACCCGUCCCCUCCCCAUCCCACGCCAGGAGUGUGCUCACCCUGAGCCUCGCACGGUGUCGUGGUUUCCUGCAGGAUGUGCCCGUGGAAGGUCUGCCUCCUGGGAAUGUCCUGGAGCCCCCCAGUCCGGCUGGGAGCCCUCCAGAGAGCCCAGCUGCCGAUGCCGGUGCUGUGACCCCGGUAGGAG